rnacentral:rRNA from 1 species
UCAGGAUGAACGCUGGCGGCGUGCUUAACACAUGCAAGUCGAACGGUGAAGCCAAGCUUGCUUGGUGGAUCAGUGGCGAACGGGUGAGUAACACGUGAGCAACCUGCCCUGGACUCUGGGAUAAGCGCUGGAAACGGCGUCUAAUACUGGAUAUGAGCUCUCAUCGCAUGGUGGGGGUUGGAAAGAUUUUUCGGUCUGGGAUGGGCUCGCGGCCUAUCAGCUUGUUGGUGAGGUAAUGGCUCACCAAGGCGUCGACGGGUAGCCGGCCUGAGAGGGUGACCGGCCACACUGGGACUGAGACACGGCCCAGACUCCUACGGGAGGCAGCAGUGGGGAAUAUUGCACAAUGGGCGGAAGCCUGAUGCAGCAACGCCGCGUGAGGGAUGACGGCCUUCGGGUUGUAAACCUCUUUUAGCAAGGAAGAAGCGUGAGUGACGGUACUGCAGAAA